AAUCAGCCACGUCGAGCCGUGUGUGUCGCAGGCUGCCUCUCCAUCUUCUUUUAGGUUAUUAGUCAACAAUCGAUUAAACCAGUGCCCAGCACCCUCUCUCAUCUCUCGACGCCGAACUGCCCAAGUACUACAGCCGCCUGCCCAUCUUCUUGUUUCAGUAUAUCACAACAGCGAAUGGAUUGUGAAGCUAGUGCACGCGAUCUGUUAGAACGUAUGCUACUUGAUACUAGUGCAGAACCGACAGCUCUGCCACUAUCACUUCUAAGAUCCAUCACGAAUAAUUUCUCCGAUGAUCAGCAAAUUGGCAGUGGUGGGUUUGCAGUUGUUUAGGAGGGAAUACUUCAGAAUGGGACUGUCGCCGUGAAAAGGUUGUCCCAAACACUCGAUAUGGACGAGAAGAAUUUCAACCAAGAGGUCAGUAGUCUGAUAAGGGUGAAGCACAAAAAUAUAGUACGGUUCUUGGGUUAUUGUGCUGACACACAAGGAAAAGUAGAGAAGUACAUGGGGAAGAUGGUCAUUGCGGAUGUACGACAAAGGUUACUCUGUUUUGAGUUCAUGCCAAAUGGGAGUCUUGAUAAGCACAUCAACGAUGCAUCCAGAGGACUUGAAUGGACGACACGCUAUCAGAUAAUCAAGGGCAUUUGUGAGGGUUUACAUUAUCUUCACCAGCAGAAAAUUGUUCAUUUAGAUCUGAAACCUGCAAAUAUACUGCUGGACCAUAAAAUGGUGCCUAAAAUUGCUGAUUUUGGUCUGUCAAAGUGCUUUGAUGAAACACAAACCCGGGCCAUAACUUUAAAAGUUGUUGGAACACAUUAAGCUACCUAAGCAUCUUUAAGAACAAAUAUUAUAUAUCGGGAAGUUAUGGAUACAUAUGGGGCAUUCAAUUUGCUCUUAAGUUUCUUAGACCAUAAAAUUUUCCGUGCAGGGGAUAUAUGGCACCAGAAUUUUAUAGUGGAUUAAUCACAAUGAAGUCAGACAUAUAUAGUCUUGGUGUUAUAGUUACAGAGAUAUUGACAGGACAGAAAGGGUAUCUUCUGAUUGAGAAUGUAAUUGAAAGUUGGAGUACUAGGUUCCAAACUUCACAGGGAGGAAUGUGGUUGGAACAUGUAAAAGUAUGCGCUGAGAUAGGCUUUGACUGCAUGGAUUCUGACCCAGUGAAGAGACCAAUGGCACAACAUAUAAUUGAGAUGCUUGAUGGAUUGGAGCAUAAGCAUGGUUGUUUUGAUAUUGACCUCUCGACAACACAAGUUCCAGGGGUCCAGUUUUAUGGCAAUAGGAAAUCAAAAUAAGUUUGAAGGAGAAUGGGUCAUCAUUGGUGGCACAGGAGUAUUUACUUUUGCACAAGGUACCAUAACGAUAUGUAGAAUACUAGAUAGUGGGUCCUCAAACAUAAAGGAGAUAUGUAUCCGCGCAUUUGGCUGCACAGGACAGACCACCCCAAUUGAGAAUAAGCCUUCCAAGCGCAAUAUGAUAAACAUUGAUUCCAAUGCAACCUCAAAUGUGUGCAACCCUUCCAUGGCUAAUCCAGAGGUCCAAAGCAUGUUGUACAUGCACCAGAUCAUCAGUGGACCAAACUAUAAUCAAGUAAAUAUAGCAGAUCCAAAGCAGCCUCAUAUGUUUGGCUACACCAAUGUUCAUGACUAUCCCAUAUAUGACAGUCUUGGGUCUGGUAGAAAGAUUGUUGCACGCGCACAAGGCCUGCAUACCAAGACUAGUAUGAAUAAUGGUGGCUGGUUCCACUGGAGCAAAGUAGCAUUUGACUAUGAAAGGUUCCAUGGGUCUAGCUUUAAUGCAAUAGGAAAUCAAGAAGGCGAAUGGGCUAUUGUUGGUGGGACUGGACAAUUUACUUUUGCUAGGGGUACCAUUACCACAUGUAGAAUACAAGACAAUGGAUUUUCCAACAUCAAAGAGAUUCGUAUCCGUGCAUUGUGUUGUGAACCAACCAUUCCAUUUUAGUUCAAGCCUUUCAGGGACAAAAUGAUAAAGAUUUAUUCCAAUGCAAGCUCAAAAAUAUUGAACCCUUCCAUGGCUAAUCCACAGAGUGGUCCUGUAGCCACACAGUCCCAGAAAACUGAGUAUAAUCGCAUCUUGUACAUGCAACAGAUCAUCAGUGGACCAAACUAUAACCAAGUAAAUAUAGCAAAUCCAAAGCAGCCUGAGAUGUUUGGUUACACCAAUGUUCAUGAUUAUCCUAUAUAUGAUAGUCUUGGUCCAGGAAAAAAGAUUGUUGCACGUGCACAAGGCCUGCAUACAAAGACUAGUAUGAACUACAACGGCUGGUUUCACUGGAGCAAUGUAGUGUUCACUGAUGAAAGGUUCCGGGGAUCCAGCAGUCUUAAGACCAUAGGGAAUCAAGAAGGCGAAUGGGCUAUUAUCGGUGGGACAGGAAUGUUUACUUUUGCAGAGGGUACCAUUAGCACUUAUAGAGUACAAGAUGAUGGGUCCUCGAACAUCAAGGAGAUUCGUAUCCAUGCAUUAUUGUGCUGCGCACCCGACACCACUCCAACUGACAAUUGGUGAUUAGACAUUAUAUCUAUACUUAUGCUUCACUUUGUGCGAAAACAUCACUGAAGUGCCUUUUUUUGUAUUCAUGCAUGUCUAAGGUAUGAUGGUUGAUGACAAUAUGGCUCAUAUUUCAAUAUGUAAUGUGGAGAACUAUAUCAAUGUGCCAUAUUUUUUUAAAAUGAGCAGUACAAUAAAAACAACUAUUAUUGCUUCAA